CUCAACUGUGACAUUGCAAAACAAACUGAAGCAGGGCUUGUAGCUCGCAGUGACGGACUGCGAACGAGUGACAUUUCAAUCGAGCACGAUGCCAAAGCAGUAGUGGAACACGGAGGAAGUAUGAAGAAUCAUUUCACUGGGUAUGACCACACAGUCACAAGUCGACACACUGUGAUUUACUUUCAGUCAGCUGCUUUUCGGGCCUCUGAGGGCGAUCUGUUUGCUCAUGAUGUCGCCCCCAAAAAGCGUGACUGCUGAUGUCUGCGCCGGCGUCGCCGACAACAUCGCGUCCCCUUCGGCCUUUGGUCAAGGAAGUCAAAAAGGCGCUUCCAUCACGGGGAAUGCGUAGCCUGUCUGAGACCAGUUGGAAGUGCCCAGUCAAAGCCAAACACGCAAAAGCAGUAUUUCACUCAAAAGAGAACAUUGAUGAGCCAUUUUUUUUCUUCUUCUCAAGAGAGGAAAAACCACAGGAAAGUGCCACAGGGCACCAAACGAGAAAAACAACUGAGGGAACCAGAGUUGGUGGCACUCCGACAACAGAGGGAAGACUGCCAUGAUUUACGACAUCAUGUCAGCGAGGCUGUACCGCCCACCAUUGUAUGGAUGGAGUCUUCAUCGCAUCAUGUCUGCUCUAGUUUGGCGUGCCAAACUUCCAACAUUAAACCGGGCGAAGCUAAAUCAACAGAGGGGGCGCUGCUCUGGCCCAUUGCAACCCUUGUGAAAAGAUCUAAAGCCUUGCAGUUCUAUGGACUCAUGGGGAAACGCUCGGGUGACACUUCACAUCCCGAAAAAGUGUGCCCGCACCAAGUAUUUAGGCAUGUCAUCUUUCACUUUUGUUGUUGUAAUCAAGAUACACAGUACUGCAGCAACCCUUGCAUAAAUAUGUGACUAAUUGUCCAAUUACUGAUCAAGGAGUUUAAUAUUUCGGGACCACCUUGCCCAGAGGUGGGCAAAAAUACAAAAAAA